GACCGAUUGGCUCUCAUCUCUCUACCGCAAUCUUCAGAUGGAAGAUAUGCUAUGGCAAUGAUCACUAUAUGGUGUGUAUGGUGAGAAUGAAACAAACUGGCCGGUGAUAGAUCUCCAGCCUCGUGAACCAGCCGGGGUGGUUUUGACUGAAUUGCUGCAAUUUUGUAAUGACUGUACUCCCUCUUAAGUUGUUUCAAUUGAGGUACAGGAGCAACCAACUGUAGUGGGAGGCACUGUUGUUUCUCCAUUUCUAAGCUUAACGUAGAUGCUGCAUUUCAGUUCUUCGCCUGGCACUAUGGGCUAUGGUGUGGUUGUUCGAACUUCUACCCGAAUGGUCUCCUUCUCUACUAUGUAACGCAGAUACGGCACACUUGAAGUUGAAAUGAUACACUUGCGCGAAUUAUUUCUUUUUAUUUUUUUUAACAACAUAAUU
rnacentral:misc_RNA from 1 species